UGGGGAAUAUUGGACAAUGGGCGAAAGCCUGAUCCAGCCAUGCCGCGUGUGUGAAGAAGGUCUUCGGAUUGUAACGCACUUUAAGUUGGGAGGAAGGGCAUUAACCUAAUACGUUAGUGUUUUGACGUUACCGACAGAAUAAGCACCGGCUAACUCUGUGCCAGCAGCCGCGGUAAUACAGAGGGUGCAAGCGUUAAUCGGACUUACUGGGCGUAAAGCGCGCGUAGGUGGUUUGUUAAGUUGGAUGUGAAAUCCCCGGGCUCAACCUGGGAACUGCAUUCAAAACUGACUGACUAGAGUAUGGUAGAGGGUGGUGGAAUUUCCUGUGUAGCGGUGAAAUGCGUAGAUAUAGGAAGGAACACCAGUGGCGAAGGCGACCACCUGGACUAAUACUGACACUGAGGUGCGAAAGCGUGGGGAGCAAACA
rnacentral:rRNA from 1 species